rnacentral:rRNA from 1 species
GGGGAAUAUUGGACAAUGGGCGAAAGCCUGAUCCAGCAAUGCCGCGUGAGUGAUGAAGGCCUUAGGGUUGUAAAGCUCUUUUACCAGGGAUGAUAAUGACAGUACCUGGAGAAUAAGCUCCGGCUAACUCCGUGCCAGCAGCCGCGGUAAUACGGAGGGAGCUAGCGUUGUUCGGAAUCACUGGGCGUAAAGCGUGCGUAGGCGGUGACUCAAGUCAGAGGUGAAAGCCUGGAGCUCAACUCCAGAACUGCCUUUGAAACUAGGUCGCUAGAACAUCGGAGAGGUGAGUGGAAUUCCGAGUGUAGAGGUGAAAUUCGUAGAUAUUCGGAAGAACACCAGUGGCGAAGGCGGCUCACUGGACGAUUGUUGACGCUGAGGCACGAAAGCGUGGGGAGCAAACAGGA